rnacentral:rRNA from 1 species
GACGAACCGUGCGAACGUUGUUCGGAAUCACUGGGCUUAAAGGGCGCGUAGGCGGGCGGGCAAGUCAGGGGUGAAAUCCCACGGCUCAACCGUGGAAGUGCCUUUGAUACUGCCUGUCUCGAGGGAGGUAGGGGCGUGCGGAACUUCCGGUGGAGCGGUGAAAUGCGUAGAUAUCGGAAGGAACACCGGUGGCGAAGGCGGUUCUCUGGGCAUUACCUGACGCUGAGGAGCGAAAGUGUGGGGGAGCGAACAGG